GGGCCCGUGGUCCAGUGGUUAAGACGCCAGCUUUACACGCUAGAAACAGGAGUUCGAUUCUCCUCGGGCCCA
rnacentral:tRNA from 1 species